AUUGGACGCUGGCGGCAUGCCUUACACAUGCAAGUCGAACGGCAGCGGACCUUCGGGUGCCGGCGAGUGGCGAACGGGUGAGUAAUAUAUCGGAACGUACCUUUCAGUGGGGGAUAACGUAGCGAAAGUUACGCUAAUACCGCAUAUUCUGUGAGCAGGAAAGCAGGGGAGUCGCAAGACCUUGCGCUGAUUGAGCGGCCGAUAUCAGAUUAGCUAGUUGGUGAGGUAAAGGCUCACCAAGGCGACGAUCUGUAGCGGGUCUGAGAGGAUGAUCCGCCACACUGGAACUGAGACACGGUCCAGACUCCUACGGGAGGCAGCAGUGGGGAAUAUUGGACAAUGGGC
rnacentral:rRNA from 1 species